ensembl:lncRNA
UUGGAUUUUUAUCUAAAACACACUUUUUUUGUUGUUGGUUUGCAGUUCAAAUGCAAGCACAAGACCUUUGAUGUGUGUUGUUUUUAUUUUCAGGAAAUAAAUGUUACAGUGUAGAAGAAUAUAAAAAGACUAAAAAAUUAGGGGGAAAUUUUGUUUUGCUCAUUGAUCUUUUUUUUUUUCUCUUUCAUUUAAUAUUCAUUUAAACAAUGCUCUUGUGCGACGUUCAAGUGACCAAUCACAUUUUGUCAUUGCUACUACAAAUGCCAAUCAUCUGCCAGGCUACUGGCUCCUCCCACCAGAGGGGGCGGAACAGCAUGACCUGUUCCGAGCUGCAUGCACAUUUUUAUUAACAGACAAAACAGAACAACAAAAAAAAAAAGCUACAGAAAUAGAUACCUGUGUUAGUUCCACAUACAGUAGGCAAGCUUGUUUGUUGCAUGUACUUGUACAGUUUGCUUGUACUUGAUUAUAAAGAGAACUAAGAAACUAAAGCCAUUCACUCUCAGAUCCGCGGAAAAAAAACAACCCAAGUACUUGUCCUACAUUCCGGUGAUGAAUGUUUUUUUUUUUCCUCGCAUUUCUUUGUCUUUUCUAAUCCCCUUGGGGAAAUAUGUGCUGUACUGUAAUACUGAUCAUAACCUAACCUUUUACAAAUAUCUCAUAUGUAAAUGAUUCUUUACCUCCAAGAGACAGAUUAGCUAAUUAUACAUAAAUUAGAGUGACUCAUAGCUACUGAACUGAACAGGUGUGAAAUACAAUAAUACAUGCACAAAAUACACUGAAUGUGCACAGAUUGUAAAUAUGAACUAACCAUUAAGUCGGUUAAGCCAUAUUUGCAAAAGGGGCCAAGGAUUUUCUUGCAAAAGACAUCUCAGUUCCAGAGGGACCGCUGACUCGCUGGAGCCGAGUCAGGACAUCAGGACCCUCCAAUAGCAUCUCACGCUCAGCAGGCCCAACUGCUCCGCCACAACACAACCAUCUCUGUGAUUUCAAUACAAGCCUCUCACUUCAACAAGCGUUCAUUGGAGGAAAAAAAUUAGCCAAGAUCGUUUUCUUUUCUUCUUCUUUUUUUUUUUACGUGAGCCCAGUUUUCAUUUGACUUUAUCAGUAUUACUGGGUAGAAAAUGAAAAGAAAAAAAAAUAAAACGCUGAUUGUUUACAAUUCACAUUAUAUGUUCCACUGAAAUGAGUCAAGGAAAAAAAUAAUAGGUUAUAAAAAGUAUUCACUUGCAACACUUUUGUUUGUAUAAAGAUGUGGCUCAAAUGAUGUGUAUGUUUUAUAUAUAAAAAUAAAAGAGUUCAUUUUUAUUAUUUCCAAAUAAAAAAGUGUGUGGAAG